rnacentral:misc_RNA from 1 species
AUUGUCAACAGAUCUAAUGUUACAGUUGUUAUGCUUGCAUUAGACUGUUUAAUUAGUUGUUAAAAUGAUUACGUAGACAGUUAUGACUCUAAGGCGAAGCUUAAUCCGAAAUUUCAGAAACGUCACUGUCAAAAAAUUUGUUUAGAGGGCGCUGUACCGGCGGCAGAUCCAAGAAUCAAGAUGACGUCCCUUGUCACCGAUGUUCUGCUCGCAAACACGGAUCUGUUGGAAAAGGAAGACCUUGGGACGCGCAUCGGCAAAUUAUCAACUCACAUUGAUGAGAUCAAGGGUGAAAUCUACCACGCCGUACACGAGAAGUAUGCUAACUACAGACCCACCAGGGACUCCACCCAGGAGCUACACAACAAGGUGCAGACACUGUCCACUGAGAUGCAGACUCUCAGCAAUAAGAUCAAGGUUAAACAACAUGGUGACUCCACUGUGGAACCAGCCGUAUGAGGACCAGCUAUCCACCAAAUAGACCAACACCAGGGAGUUUCUGAGGAAUUUAUCCAAGAUGCUGUAACGGAACAUUGGGGAGAUGUCUCCCUGUCUGAAGCAACAAAGGAAGAACCACAGUGGGAUGGAAUGUGAGUUGGAGCCAAUUAA